ensembl:lncRNA
UGACAGUUGGAUUGGGACAUGCAAACUGUUUGAAGGUUAUUGAAGCUUAUAUUGCCACUACGUAUCUUAUGUCUCAGUUCCAGAGGCUGAAAGUCCAAGAUCAAGGUACUGCCAGAUACAGUGUCUGAUUUCCCUGGAGAACACUGCCUAAUACAGUACACAAUAGCUUAAAAAUUGACUUUUAGUCAGAAACUUGACUCUGAUGAAUUGCAAAAGAAACUGCUUUUCUUUUUUUUUUUUUUAUCCUUUGGGAGUUCUUUUAUGUGUCCUAAUUUUAUUUCUAGUAUCUUAGUACAUAAUCACCCAGAGUGUGAAGCAUCCUAACAUGCAGCAAACAGAGCCAAGUCUGUAAUAAAAACAGAUGACUGAGAAAAGAUAUAUAGUAAAUAACAAUGAAGACACACAGGCACAAGGGAAAAACACUGAGGGAAGGCUGUGUGAAGAUAAAAGCAGAGAUUGGAGUUUUUCUGCUACAAGCCAAGGACACCUGGAACCACCAGAAAGUGAAAGAGCCAUCUUCAGUACAUCAUAUGGUCACACUCUGCUUGGAGAAACAGAAACAAGAUGAACAAGGAGAUGAACAGCAAAAACAGUUCUUCCAUGAACCUGACAUCAUAACCUACAAGUUUCACAAUGAAACAAGAACAGCUUAAAACUGAUGGUGACUGAGUGGUGCUAAUGCCAAAUUUUUGGUCAAUAUCUCAUAUUCAAGAGGAUAAUCAGAGGAGAGAAUUGUUAAAUUAACUAAACAAGGAAACCAUUAAACUGAGUGACUGCAAUGCCUUAGUGGUCCAUGUAAGCAAACCAAAAUCUAAGCCUGUAAAUGCAUCAGUGUUACAAAAUCAAAACCUAAGGACAACUAAUCACAAAAAACCAACUAAGCUUUACACUACAGCCAAUAAAAUAAUUUCUUUGUUUGCACUCCUUCUCUAUAUAAGUUAUUCCCCUAGCUUAUGUUGGUAGAAUGCUUCUAACCACUUUUGAUUUUCUGCUGCCCAAAUCGAAUUAAUUUUUGCUCAGAUAAACAUACCUCAGUUUAUCUGUAAUAGCCAAAAACUGGAAUCAGCCCAGAUGUCUCUCAUAGCAGAGUGAUUAAACAACUCUGGUACCUCCCUUCCAGAGAAUACUACUCAGUAAUAAAA